rnacentral:lncRNA from 1 species
GUACCUGCUCUGUACCACUUAGCUGGAUACCACAAUGGAGAAAUAUCUUCCCUUCGUUCAGAAGGCACCUUCAGAACAGGGGCAUGUCCAGGCGGACACACAGUCCAGCGUAGGGAGAAGUAUCUCAGAGAUCUUUCCCAAAGGAGGGCACAGAAGGUGUGAAUUGUGAAACAGUGUGAUGGUAUAGGAUGCAUUUGGAGAACUGCAAGAAGUUCUAUGAGGCCAGGAGAAAACAAGGAUGAGGCAGUGGCAAGAAAUUAGUCUGGUGAGGUGGGCAGGGGCUAACUCACAAAAGGUAUUGGGUACUAAUCUAAGGAGGUGGAACCUUACCCUGAAAGCUGUGGGUAGGAAGAGAACAAGAAAUGUUGCCAAGGACACCACAGGAUUUGGGGGCCAGUGGUCAGUGGUCAGAUGAGAACUGACAAGUGACCUUUGGACUUGUCAAUGUGGUAGUCACUGGCCAUUGACAGGAAGCAUUGGAGGCUGAGUGGAGGGGAGGCAUGAACCCAUAGUGACCCCAUGGUGUAUAUGGUUUUCUCUGGGCAGGCUC